rnacentral:rRNA from 1 species
UACGUAGGGUGCAAGCGUUUGUCCGGAAUUAUUGGGCGUAAAGAGCUCGUAGGCGGUCUGUCGCGUCGGAUGUGAAAAUCCAGGGCUCAACCCUGGACCUGCAUUCGAUACGGGCAGACUAGAGUUCGGUAGGGGAGACUGGAAUUCCUGGUGUAGCGGUGAAAUGCGCAGAUAUCAGGAGGAACACCAAUGGCGAAGGCAGAUCUCUGGGCCGUAACUGACGCUGAGGAGCGAAAGCAUGGGGAGCGAACAGG